rnacentral:tRNA from 1 species
CGUAGGAUAGUUUAACAGGUAAAACGGCGGUCUCAUAAGCCGAGGACAGUGUAUGCUUUGUGGUAGUUCGAAUCUAUCUCCUACGA